GGGGAUUUGGCUCAAUGGUAGAGCACUUGCCUAGGAAGCACAAGGUCCUGGGUUCGGUCCCCAGCCCCG
rnacentral:tRNA from 1 species